CKGVYMGAGMCCGUGMAUCCGGGCCGGCGAAUUCAGGACCGAUAGGCGGCCCGCCAGGGUCCUUGUCGGUUUGAUGUUUCGUCGGCCGUAAAUUUGGACGUUGCGACCCGUUUGGUGCUGGUUUGUUGAAGGGCCGACGUAAAGUUCGUCAGUUUGAUCCGUUUCGGCGAAUCAGUUUGGCGAUUCGUCGGUUCCGAGCUAGCUAGCCCGACGGUACAAGAAUGGUGUCCGACGACGAUUCUGUCGUCGCCGGUACCGGUCUGUAACGAUUAUUCGGGCCUCUUUCCGACCCGUCUUGAAACACGGACCAAGGAGUCUAACGUGUGCGCGAGUCAUAGGGUGUCGCCGACUGGUGCCUCGGUAUCAGGCGGCGUUAUACAAACGAAACCCGACAUAGGCGUAAUGAAAGUAAUAUUGUGUUCUCGGACACAAUGGGAAGAUAACGUUCCGAGUACACGUUCUAGACUUGAUCUAGACCGGACGUUCGCAUUCCCGGGGCGUCCCUUCAGUCCGGCGGCGUACUACUUCGGUGGUGCGUCGUUGAACGCGGGCGCACUCAUAGCGUACACGUUGGUACCCGAAAGAUGGUGAACUAUGCCCGGCCAGGAUGAAGUCAGGGGAAACCCUGAUGGAGGUCCGCAGCGAUUCUGACGUGCAAAUCGAUCGUCU
rnacentral:rRNA from 1 species